UACCCCAUCAGGCCCAAAGAUCCCUGACCCUGAGAUAACUGGCCCUUGUUCCUUUCGUGGGCUGAAUCUAUAGGUCAGAGGAGUUGGAGAUCUUAAGACUGACCCAGUCAAAUAGGAACCUAGAAAGUCUGAACACAGACCUUGAAAGAGACCUGCAAAUCACAGAUGAGGCAAAUCAGGAACUUCUUCUCCAAAUCCACAAGAAAGAAGAAGAAAUACAGAGGCUGGAAAGUGAGAUCACUCAGCCCCAGGACCUGACAGAUGAUGAGGAGAGGGAGCAGCAGAAUAGUACCACCAUGGAAAGGGAAAGAACGCUGCAAGACCUGGAAGAAGAAAUAGCCAGACUUGAAAGGAAAAAUGAGACUCUGGUCCAUGACACAAGAGAACUUCAGAAAAAGCUUACAAGGAAAUUGCAAAAGGCAACCAAGUGUGAGCAAGGCCAUCUACAGGGAGCACUGGAACAGUCAAAGGUAAAUGAAAAAUCAAUCUUGAGAGGGUUUGGGUUACAUGAGCAGGAAGCAAGCUUUUACGUGGAAACAACUAUCAAAACUGGGAUAAAUUCUUUGUAGUUUUAGCCCAUGUCAGACUUAAGCCUAGGCUACUGAGUACUGAAUUCUUUUCUGCCCUUGGUAAGGAAUUUCACUCUGAAGCCA